rnacentral:rRNA from 1 species
CCUACGGGAGGCAGCAGUGGGGAAUAUUGCACAAUGGGGGGAACCCUGAUGCAGCGACGCCGCGUGGGUGAAGGAGUAUUUCGGUAUGUAAAGCCCCAUUAGUAGGGAAGUACAAUGACGGUACCUGACUAAGAAGCAACUGCCAAAUACGUGCCAGCCGCCGCGGUAAUUCGUAGGGUGCAAGCGUUAGCCGGAUUUACUGGGUGUAAAGGGAGUGCAGGCGGCGCGUUAAGCCUGGUGUGAAAGGCCGCGGCCCAACCGCGGAACUGCAUUGGAAACUGGCGCGCUGGAGUGCCGGAGGGGUAGGCGGAAUUCCUGGUGUAGCGGUGAAAUGCGUAGAUAGUAGGAAGAACACCAGUGGCGAAGGCAGCCUACUGGACGGUGACUGACGCUGAGGCUCGAAAGCGUGGGGAGCAAACAGGAUUAGAUACCCGAGUAGUC